UCGACGAACUGUUAAAACCGGGCAUUUCGACACGGUGGCAAAAUUUCGAUUUCGUAAUAUUUUAGAAAUCGAAGACGCAGCGCUAUUUGAUCGGUUUUAAAAUAAUAAAAUAUAUUUGACAUAACAGCACGGCCGCGCAUAUCCACGACUACAAUGAUGAAUAUUGUUAGCAUGGAAAAUAUAAUUUACCUGUGUCAAGACUGCUUUUUCCAAAAUGUGCUAAAUGCUCUCUGUGUAUUAAUCCUAGGUGGUUUUGCAAGCCAAGAAUGAUGAAUUGUACCGUAAAUGCUGCAAAACUGAUAAUCCAGCCCCAUCCCCCGUCUGGCACCACUCUCACGUUAGCAUAGAGGUCUACUUUCUCCUCACACUGUUUGGUAUCCUUUUCCUGACCCAUUGUUUAGUUCGGUUUUGUCCUUACUGUUGUGCAGGGCGAACUGAAUCUACAGUAUUAAUUUUUCCGUAAUUAUUCCUCUGCCCAGGUGGUCUCGAAGCUAGUCGAUUGUGAUUGGCUGGAAAAAAAUCAUACGAUGACAAUAUGCAAGCAUAUCUGUGUUCC